UUGCUCCAGCAGGUUAACGGCGGACGGCUGAGUAACACGUGGGCAACCUGCCUGUAAGACUGGGAUAACUCCGGGAAACCGGAGCUAAUACCGGAUAGUAUCUUGAACCGCAUGGUUCAAGCUGGAAAGACGGUUUCGGCUGUCACUUACAGAUGGGCCCUGCGGCGCAUUAGCUAGUUGGUGAGGUAAUGGCUCACCAAGGCAACGAUGCGUAGCCGACCUGAGAGGGUGAUCGGCCACACUGGGACUGAGACACGGCCCAGACUCCUACGGGAGGCAGCAGUAGGGAAUCUUCCGCAAUGGACGAAAGUCUGACGGAGCAACGCCGCGUGAGUGAUGAAAGUUUUCCGAUCGUAACAACUCUGUUGUUAGGGAAGAACAAGUGCGAGAGUACUGCUC
rnacentral:rRNA from 1 species